rnacentral:lncRNA from 1 species
GGUUGAACCAGGAUGUGGACAUGAAGCUAGGAUUAGGGUUUAGGCUACGGUUAAGGUUGAACCAGGAUGUGGACAUGAAGCUAGGGUUAGGGUUUAGGCUACGGUUAAGGUUGAACCAGGAUGUGGACAUGAAGCUAGGGUUAGGGUUUAGGCUACGGUUAAGGUUGAACCAGGAUGUGGACAUGAAGCUAGGGUUAGGGUUUAGGCUACGGUUAAGGUUGAACCAGGAUGUGGACAUGAAGCUAGUGUUAGGGUUUAGGCUACGGUUAAGGUUGAACCAGGAUGUGGACAUGAAGCUAGGGUUAGGGUUUAGGCUAUGGUUAAGGUUGAACCAGGAUGUGGACAUGAAGCUAGGGUUAGGGUUUAGGCUACGGUUAAGGUUGAACCAGGAUGUGGACAUGAAGCUAGGGUUAGGGUUUAGGCUACGGUUAAGGUUGAACCAGGAUGUGGACAUGAAGCUAGUGUUAGGGUUUAGGCUACGGUUAAGGUUGAACCAGGAUGUAGACAUGAAGUUAGGGUUAUUGUUUGGGCUACGGUUAAGGUUGAACCAGGAUGUGGACAUGAAGCUAGAGUUAGGGUUUAGGUUAAGGUUGAACCAGGAUGUGGACAUGAAGCUAGGGUUAGGGUUUAGGCUACGGUUAAGGUUGAACCAGGAUGUGGACAUGAAGUGAGGGUUAUUGUUUGGGCUACGGUUAAGGUUGAACCAGGAUGUGGACAUGAAGCUAGGGUUAGGGUUUAGGCUACGGUUAAGGUUAAGGUUGAACCAGGAUGUGGACAUGAAGCUAGGGUUAGGGUUUAGGCUACGGUUAAGGUUGAACCAGGAUGUGGACAUGAAGCUAGGGUUAUGGUUUAGGCUACGGUUAAGGUUGAACCAGGAUGUGGACAUGAAGCUAGGGUUAGGGUUUAGGCUACGGUUAAGGUUGAACCAGGAUGUGGACAUGAAGUGAGGGUUAUUGUUUGGGCUACGGUUAAGGUUGAACCAGGAUGUGGACAUGAAGCUAGGGUUAGGGUUUAGGCUACGGUUAAG